rnacentral:rRNA from 1 species
AUGGAGUUCUCAUCAAGUGAAGACCAUGAUCUUGUUGAAGAUUUCAUGGAUGUUGAGGAUGAUACAGGCACCACUGAUGUUGAUCAAGGAACUAGUGUGAUGUCUUCCCAGAUUCAUUGCAUUGAUCCUUCUGAGGGAUCCAUGUCGACUGCUGUAAAUGAGCUGCUUCCGGCAGCUGACGAGCUGGGCAAAAAUGCGGAACCGUACUUGGGCAUGGAAUUUACGUCUGAUGCAGCUGCACGUGCAUUCUACAAUGCGUAUGCACUAGGCCUUGGGUUCGGCAUUCGUGUUGCCCGGUCCCGCAGUGAACGGCGAAAAGGUACCGAGGUACUUGUUAUGAAGCGUUUUGUGUGCAUGAAAGAGGGACAUCACAAGAAGAAGAAGGAUGUUGACUCUAGCAACAAGAAAAAGAGGAAGCGCCUCUCUAUACGGGAAGGCUGCCCAGCAAUGAUGGAGGUGGUGAGGAGGGGCCCAGAAAAGUGGGUCAUCACGAAGUUGGUGCUCGAGCACACUCAUGUCAUUGUUAGCCCAGACAAGGUGCGGGAGGUCCAGCUCCUUCGCCUCUCUGGGAAGGAGCAUGCGGACCAAUUGCAGGAGGCGCGGAGGAAUGUGUUUGGAGACACAGGUGCAUCUGGUCUCUUCACCUACCUGAUGAGAAGGCAGUCGGAGAACUCUGGUUUUUUCUAUAACGUACAAGUUGACGGUAGAAACUGUUUGAGGAAUGCAGUUUGGGUUGAUGCAAGAUCUAAAAUGUCAUACAAGUACUUCGGAGAUGCUGUUUACUUCGACACUACUUAUACUCAAAACGAAAAUAUGUUGCCUUUUGCUGCUUUCACAGGCAUGAAUCACCAUGGUGAUUGUGUUGUUUUUGGUUGUGCGCUUAUCUUGGAUAAGACAGAAUCUUCAUAUGCUUGGAUUUUUGAGACAUGGCUGGCAGCAAUGGAUAAGCGGCUGCCAUUUUCAUUUACAACAGAUGAAGGCAAAACAAUGACAGAGGCAGUUGCCAAAGUAUUUCCUCAAUGUUUCCAUCGUCUUUGUAGAUGGCGAGUUCUUUCUAAAUGCAAGAAGAAAUUAUCUGAUGUCUACAUGAGAUUUCCUGAGCUCCAUAACGAGUUAAAAAGAUGUGUCAAUGAGUGUGAUACCGUGCCUGUUUUUGACAUGUUCUGGGGUUCUAUUCUCGACAAGUAUGGUCUGAGGGAGAACACUUGGUUGCAAUCACUGUUUGAAGCAAGACAUAAAUGGGUUCCUGCGUACCUAACAAGCUCCUUCUUUGCAGAAUUGUCACUGACCCGUAGAGCAGAAACGAUCAGUGGGUUUUAUAGGAAUAACUUCAGUACAAGAGCUCCCCUCCUUUCUUUUAUCACUACAUUUGAUCAACACAUAGACAGAUUGUAUAUGAAUGAAGCUCAGAAAGAUCUUGCCUUGUUUCCUCCUGAACAACUCCUGAAAACCAAUUCAAUCUUGGAAAAACAAGCAGCGAGCAUCUACACCAGGGCUGCAUUUGAAUUUUUCCAAACGGAGUUGAUUGAAUCACUGCAUCACUAUGCUGUGAAGGUUGAGGAAAGCCCUUAUGAAGCCAAGUACUAUGUUGAAAGAGACGGUGAUCCUCCUACCAGGCACACUGUUGUCUACAAUGUUGCCGAGAAGAAGGCUUGGUGUGACUGCUGCAGGUUUGCUUUCUCGGCGAUAUUGUGCAGGCAUGUGCUGGGAGUAUUCAUCUUGGCUGACAUCGACAUGAUUCCGGAGCCAUGCAUCACGAAGCGAUGGACAAAAAAGGCAAAGACAGGGCCAGUGUUUGUUGGACGCAUCCUUGAAGAUGAAAACCGGCACACAGAUUCUGUGACUUCGAGGUUCAGUGAUCUCGUUCGCGACGCCAUGAGGUGUGGAGAGAAGGGAGCUCUAUCAGAAGGCUCCUUCAAAUUUGCAAAGGAAGUACUGCGCAAAGCCUAUAGAGAAAUAGAUAAACUGACCAAGGCUGGUCCCCAGCAAGUUGGCAACAGAUAA